AUUGAACGCUGGCGGCAGGCCUAACACAUGCAAGUCGAGCGAGCGGCGGACGGGUGAGUAAUGUAUGGGGAACUGCCUGAUGGAGGGGGAUAACUACUGGAAACGGUAGCUAAUACCGCAUACCAUCAGAUGUACCCAUAUGGGAUUAGCUUGUUGGUGGGGUAACGGCUCACCAAGGCGACGAUCCCUAGCUGGUCUGAGAGGAUGACAAGCCACACUGGAACAGAUACACGGUCCAGACUCCUACGGGAGUCAGCAGUGGGGAAUAUUGCACAAUGGGCGCAAGCCUGAUGCAGCCAUGCCGCGUGUAUGAAGAAGGCCUUCGGGUUGUAAAGUACUUUCAGCGGGGAGGCGUUACCCGCAGAAGAAGCACCGGCUAACUCCGUGCCAGCAGCCGCGGUAAUUC
rnacentral:rRNA from 1 species